GCCCGGAUGGCGGAACUGGCAGACGCGCUGGAUUCAGGUUCCAGUAGGAGUUAUCCUGUGGGAGUUCAAAUCUCCCUUCGGGCA
rnacentral:tRNA from 1 species